CGUCUUUAGAUGAAUGCACAUUUAUACGUAGACAUAUAGCUUAGAAGGUAUUUAAGUGCUGGGAAACUUUGUAAUUUUGAGUUGGUCUGGCGAUAAUUUCCCGGCCUUCUCCCUGUAACUGGUUACUGAAAUAAAAACUCUCUUCCUCCCCAGUUCAUCUGCAUGUGGUUAUUGGGCCACAAGAAAUAGCAGCCCGACCCUCAGUUUGGUCCAGGAACAAAGUUUGGCAAGCCAGCCAGGAGAGACCAGGAUGGUGCUGUGGUCAGCGGCUUGCGACGAGACACUCUUCAGGAGGAUCUCAGCAGCUACUGGUGAGAUUUUCCCGGGGACCCUCCGGAGGACUGUCUGGUGUGCAACAUUUCAUGUCCCUUUCACUACUGGGGAAGAACGGAGAUCAGGAGCAGAUGCUCUCCAAGGAUACGUACAGAUGGAUUUUCCAUGUUACAACAUUACAGAGGGUGAAAUGUUUAUUCAGUAACAAACUUUAUGCCAUCCUGUGGAGGUGGGAAAAGAGGGAAAUGCCUGUAAUGAGAUAAAAGCCAUUGUCUUGGUUUAAAUUUAGAAAGGCUGUGUUUACAGGACUGAGCCACUGCCCUGACAAGAGAAAAGUUAACUGAGAAGACGCCUGGAAGAAGUUAACUAUUCAAACUAUGCAGAGUAGUAUUUUAGUCAUUAGUCGUGUCUUCUGCCAUGAAAAUACUUACAAGAAGGUGGCUCAUAUAUUGUCUUCAAAAACCACAUAUUCACUGAUGUUUUUUAGAGAACAGAUACAGCUGGUGGUAUUGGUGCCCUUCAGUCCCUUAGUGCCCUUCAGUCCCUUCAUUUCUGAUAACACGUCCCUCACCUAGAGAUGGCGCCGGUGCGCCUGGGGAGCCCAGGGCUCCAAGAGCUGCAACCACGGAUUCGGGAUUGCACAGAAGGAGACUCAGGUUAACUCAUGUGGCUGGAGUUAGAGUGGAUACUGUUUGUGUCAUCUGACAUUUGCUGUCUUUGAAAUCAUGCCUGACCUCAAACCAAAGAGCAGCUAAGUAGGCAAAUACAAAAUUCUCCAUAGCAUGCAGGGCUGGGGGUAGGAAAACGCUGCAUAAACGCGCUACCGCCCAUGUGCUGAAAUACGGCACUGGAUGCAGUUGCAGUGGGGACCCAGCGGGGGGUCUGCGGUGGGAUUCAGAGACGCGUCAACUGCGGACGAGGCAUCGCUGCUCCUUCUGGAGGAAAGAGGUCCACUGCAUCCACCCCCGACCGGGGACACUGCCACGUUGGGUCCGGCAUGGGUGCCUGAAUCUGACAGAUGAAACAUUUGGCCAUGGCGGAUCGCUCAUCAGGCAAUGCCCGGAUGAGUAGGGACCCGCCCUGCUGGGCCAGGAACUUCCAGGCAUCCACUGAGCCAGACUGUGGGGCUGAAAGCACCGGGGAGCAAGGCAUGGUGUGUACUUGAUUUGAUUUUUGCCUCAUCUGUAGGGGAGAUUCCAGGAGGAGCAAUAAUAUGUCAUAAAAAAAUUUCAUUUUCACUGUCAUAACUCCCACUUCACAAACCAGGGUGCCCACUCCACAGUCCAUGGU
rnacentral:lncRNA from 1 species